AUUACUCCUACGGGAGGCAGCAGUAGGGAAUCUUCGGCAAUGGACGCAAGUCUGACCGAGCAACGCCGCGUGAGUGAAGAAGGUUUUCGGAUCGUAAAACUCUGUUGUUAGAGAAGAACGUCAGUGAGAGUGGAAAGUUCACUGAGUGACGGUAUCUAACCAGAAAGGGACGGCUAACUACGUGCCAGCAGCCGCGGUAAUA
rnacentral:rRNA from 1 species